rnacentral:rRNA from 1 species
UACGUAGGGCGCGAGCGUUGUCCGGAAUUAUUGGGCGUAAAGAGCUCGUAGGCGGCUUGUCACGUCGGGUGUGAAAGACCGGGGCUUAACUCCGGUUCUGCAUUCGAUACGGGCUAGCUAGAGUGUGGUAGGGGAGAUCGGACUUCCUGGUGUAGCGGUGAAAUGCGCAGAUAUCGAGAGGAACACCAGUGGCGAAGGCGAGUCUCUGGACAUUUCCUGACGCUGAGGCACGAAAGCCAGGGGAGCAAACGGG